GAUGACGGUUGCUUAGGUGAAAAGAAACGACCUUUUGCCUCUGAAAGGGCGGUCCUCUUGCCCCUGGCCAACGUGGCAUUAAUCGACUACACUCUGGAAUUCCUGACUGCCACGGGUGUACAGGAAACAUUUGUCUUUUGUUGCUGGAAAGCUGCUCAAAUCAAAGAACAUUUACUACUGGUGACACAGGAUGCUGAAAGCAUUCAUUAUAGUUCAUAAUUCUCUUUGAAGUUGAAGACACUGGCAAGAACCCAAAAAAGCCAUCGAGAAGGACUGAAGUCCAAGUGGUGCCGCCCUACAUCUCUCAAUGUGGUUCGAAUAAUUACAUCAGAGCUCUAUCGAUCACUGGGAGAUGUCCUCCGUGAUGUUGAUGCCAAGGCCUUGGUGCGCUCUGACUUCCUUCUGGUGUAUGGGGAUGUCAUCUCAAACAUCAAUAUCACCAGAGCCCUUGAGGAACACAGGUUGAGACGGAAGCUAGAAAAAAAUGUUUCUGUGAUGACGAUGAUCUUCAAGGAGUCAUCCCCCAGCCACCCAACUCGUUGCCACGAAGACAAUGUGGUAGUGGCUGUGGAUAGUACCACAAACAGGGUUCUCCAU
rnacentral:sRNA from 1 species